GACGAACGCUGGCGGCGUGCUUAACACAUGCAAGUCGAACGGAAAGGCCCUGCUUGCAGGGUGCUCGAGUGGCGAACGGGUGAGUAACACGUAGGUGAUCUGCCCCUUACUUUGGGAUAAGCCUGGGAAACUGGGUCUAAUACUGGAUAGGACCAUGCUGUAGGUGGUGUGGUGGAAAGAUUAGUUUCGGUAAGGGAUGAGCUCGCGGCCUAUCAGCUUGUUGGUGGGGUAAUGGCCUACCAAGGCGUCGACGGGUAGCCGGCCUGAGAGGGUGGACGGCCACAUUGGGACUGAGAUACGGCCCAGACUCCUACGGGAGGCAGCAGUGGGGAAUAUUGCACAAUGGGCGCAAGCCUGGUGCAGCGACGCCGCGUGGGGGAUGACGGCCUUCGGGUUGUAAACUCCUUUCAGCCAUGACGAAGCCCUUGUGGUGACGGUAGUGGUAGAAGAAGCACCGGCUAACUACGUG
rnacentral:rRNA from 1 species